AUGGAUCUCAUGAGCUGGAACUGCCAGGGAGGGGUGAAUUCCUGGACAGUUCACGAGCUAGCGAUGCUAGUGCAGUCGCAUUCCCCUAGGAUGGUGUUUUUGUGUGAGACAAGAUAGAAGGAAGACAAAAUGAGGAGAUUGAGAGGCCUUCUAGGCCUGAAAGACUUUACUAGUGUGGACAGCAAUGGCCUAAGUGGGGGCCUCACUCUUUUU
rnacentral:rRNA from 1 species